GAUGAAGAACGCAGCGAAAUGCGAUAAGUAAUGCGAAUUGCAGAAUUUCCGUGAGUCAUCGAAUCUUUGAACGCACAUUGCGCCCGCCAGUAUUCUGGCGGGCAUGCCUGUUCGAGCGUCAUUUCAACCAUCAAGCCCCCGGCUUGUGUUGGGGACCUGCGGCUGCCGCAGGCCCUGAAAAGCAGUGGCGGGCUCGCUGUCACACCGAGCGUAGUAGAUUUCAUCUCGCUCAGGGCGUGCUGCGGGUUCCGGCCGUUAAACCACCUUCAUAACCCAAGGUUGACCUCGGAUCAGGUAGGAAGACCCGCUGAACUUAAGCAUAUCAAUAAGCGGAGGA
rnacentral:misc_RNA from 1 species